UUUGAAUUCAGAAACUAUUUUCUUGAACUCAUCUAGGUUGCCUGUGAGUGUCUUUGUUGAGUCCAUCUUAAAAGUAAAGAACUUUACCCUCAAGAACACUUGUUUGGAAGGUCUUUUAUGGCAAAGUGACAUGCCAACUUAGUCAUAUCCUCUAGGCAAUGUCUUGAUCAAUAACCUGCUUUAAGACACUUUCACUAGGUUCAAAACCAAAGUUCCAUAAGCUGCCAACUCCAUAUCUUUCCUUUCUUCUACUGUACCCAUGGUUGGAAGAGUUGAUGAGUCCAAAAGAGCCUUGUGAGCUUUCUGUUGACCAAGAAUAGCCUUGGUCUUGGCUUUCCAUAAGUCAAAAUCACACUUACCAUAAAAAAUUUUCUAUUUGGAUCCUUGCCACUGCCAUUUUCAAUACGAAAUCUGGGUCUUGAACCUUCAAGAUCUGUUUUCUUGAUUAUCUUGAUGCUAUGAUACCAGUUUUUGUUGGGUUUAUUUUGAAAUUCUCGUCAAGCCCAAAAUUAAGUAUGCUUUCAAUUUAUGUUUCAGGUCCAAUUAGAGAAGUAUGAUCCAAACAAAACUAAGUGUUAGGUGCCAGAUGUGGAGAUGGUGAAGCCACGUAGUUGAUUUGAUCACCAUAUGGAGGAGAAAAGAAACACGACAUGUACAAUUUUUUGAUCAAGGAAAGGAGAAGAAGAAGAUGAAGAACAUGGUGUAACAUGGUUCAACUGAAUUGAAGCCUACAUCCACGGGAAGGGAAAUAUUUGAAGAUUGUAGAUAAAUUUUUACCAUUUUUUUCAGUGACUUCCAAUGUCUUUCGACGAGGCGGACUUUUCCUUCAUCUCUCUCCCUUUGUUCCUUCUUUAAUUCUUCCUCGUUCCUUCGUUUCUUUCCUCCUUUACUUUCCUCUAAAAUAAUAAUCCCCAAAUCCUUAUAAGUUCUUUUCUUUUUUAUUAUUUUUUAAACCUAUCUUUGCCCAUUUGUCAAACACUCAAGAAAACACCACCACCAUACAUGUCCAACAUAUAACUUUUCUUAAAAUUUUGAUUUUUUGGUUAUUUAUUUCUUUUUAUUAUUAUAUUUUUCCCUUUCUUUUAUUUACUUAGAAAGAAUUGGAAACUACAAAUUUAUCCUUCAUAUAAUCGAUUUUUUGCCCCUUGCCCUUGCCCUUGACCAACACUCCAAUUUUCUCCUUCUACUAAUUUUAAAUUUUUAUUUUUUAUACUAAUAUUAUUUUAUUAUUUUUUUACCAAAUAAAAAUCAAAUUAGGUUCUUCAUAUCCAAAAAUAGAGGAUUGAAAUUCCUACUAGUAGAUAAUCAUAAGCUCAUGAGCAUUAUUGCUGAUUUGAAAUGUAAGUUAAAUCACGUCAAGGCUGGGAAAGAUUCUAUGUGCAAGUUUGUGAGAAUGCUAAAUUCUAGUAGUGAUGCACUUGAUAAGAUUUUGACAAAAGAUAAGGCUUCUAGUGAUUUUUCUUAUCUAGGGUUCUGUGGAAUGGGAAGCAAAGUUGAAAGGCAGGCCUUAGAUAGAGGAAAAUAAAAGAUAAGAGUUUUUCAUAUAACAAAAUUAUGUCUCUAACAACAUAUCAGAAUCAUCAUCUUUAGUGUUGAUCAGAAAGCUAGCACAACAUCUAGAAUGACCUGGAUUUGUCACAUUUGUGGAAAAGGGAGACAUAUUACGCCUUACUGCUUUUGUUUACAUGGGUACCCUAAUAUCUGGAAUAGAUCUUGAAUCUCUCAGAGACAUAUAAAUGUUGCUCAAAGUGGUCCUAGAACAAGACAAGAAUGGUGUGUUAAAAAUUCAUCUAACAGGUGCAAUGUUGUCUUAACAUCUCUUAGGACAUACGCCAGAGGGUAUUGGUUCUUCGAUAGUGGGAGCUCUUGGCAUGACUGGUAAAAAGAACUAUAUUUCUGAGCUAAAGGUUGUGGGUUCUGGGCAAGUCACUUUUGGAGAUGGUGUAAGUGGAAAAAUUAUUGGAAAAUACAAGCUUCAAUAUCCAGGUCUUCCCUCUCUUAAUGAUGUUAUGCUAGUCGAAGGUCUUACUUUGAAUCUCAUAAGUAUUAGUCAGCUAUGUGACCAAGGGCUGAAUGCCAACUUUACUAAGGACAGAUGUCUUGUCACAUAUAAUGAUAAGGUUCUUAUCACGACAAGUUUGCGCUUAUCUGACAAUUGCUAUUUGUGGUCUUCUAAUGUGUCUAGUCAUAUGGGUAGUCUUUCAAUUUGAGAUGAAAAUAAUCUAUGACAUAAGCAUCUCGGCCAUGUUAUCAUCAAAUUUAUAUAGAUAGCCAUGUUGAAAAAUGCCAUAGUUAAUCUCUCUUGUCUUUGUGUUAACGAGGGAAUCAUUUGUGGAGAAUGUUAAACAGGUAAGCAAAUCAGAAUUUCGUAUUAACAGGUACCUCAUACUACUUUGGAUAGAAUUUUGGAGCUUAUACAUAUAGAUCUUAUAGGUCCUAUGCAAGUUGAAAAUCUUGGCAGAAGCCGUUACGUCUUCUGUGUGUCGAUGACUUCUUGAGGUCCACUUGGGUGCAUUUUCUUAAGGAAAAGUCUGACGCGUUUGAUGUUUUCAGAACCUUGUGUUUAUAGCUUCAAAGGUGAAUGAACUUAAAUAUUACCUGGAUCUACAGUGAUCAUGGGAAGAAGUUUGAAAAUGGCCACUUUUCAAACUUUUUGUAGCUCUAAAGGUAUUCAAAUGUAUUCAUCGUGAAUUUCUAUGCCUAUUACUCUUCAGCAAACUGGAGUUGUGUUGCGUAAAAAUUAAACCCUUCAAGAGAAGGAGAAAGUCAAGGUUAAUACCACGACUUUCGCUAUGACUACUCUGGUACGCCUUGGCAUUGAAAUCCGAACUGAGUGUGGUCGGUCCACUUCUAGUAGCUCUUUUGAGUCUACUCACAAAUUUAUUGCUCUUAGUUGUGAUCCAAAUGUUGUUUUGCAUGAUGAUGUCAAUGUAUAUACUGCUGCACAUAAAGAGCUUGGUGUUUCUAAAAAUAUUGCUCAUGUUGAGUUUAUGAAUGUCGCAUGUGAUAAUGUUACUCUUGAACACAAGCAUAUGGCUAAGUCUAGUAAAAAUAAUGGUGUGCGUGAUGAUGUCCUAGAAACUGUUGUUGCUUCUGUUAUUCUAUCUGCUGAUCUUGAUAACGUUAAAAGUCCUGUUGAGUUUGAGGCGAUUGAGAAAAAUGUUACUAAAGAUGGAUGUGUCUGCCGGGGGGGGGGAACCCUACUGGUGGAACUGUCUCUCCCAAGGUUAAUGUUGAGUCAAAUGCUCUUGUUGUUUCUGAUGUUCUGCGUUUUAACCGGCUCGGUGUCAAUGUUGAGAAUGUGUCUUUAGCUGAUAAGAAAGACAUGUCUCAAGAAGGAGAUGUUGAUGGGUAGAACCUGAAUGAAGUGUGUUCCAAUGAUAACAUCCCUUUGGAAAGGCUAGUUAACAAGAAUAAGUAAAGUGAUAAAGAAAUUGUUGAUUCAAGUGAGAAUGUUUCUGAAGAUGGCAAUCUUGUGGCUGAUGAUAAUGUGUGUGUUUUCUUAAAGUUUCGCAAGAAACCAGCUGUGGCGAAGAAAAUCCUGUCAAUGUCCCUACUUACUACAUGACAAUCUUCCCAUGCAGGAAGCAAAAAUAAAAGACUCACCUCCUUCUAUCCCUAUAGUCCAAUUGGAUGGUUAACUCUCCCUUUUCGAGAUGUGUUAUGCAACCGUUGGCUGUUAAGUCUUGAGAUUUGGCCAUUGAGAUUCAGAAAUGUAACAAGUGCAAGAAUGAGGUGGAUGUGUUGUUACAAAUGAUAUGCUUGUCGGCUGCUCGAGCUGAGGCUGCCUCUUCUUUUAAGGAUUGGAUGAUGUUUCUGUUAUGACUGAAUGUUGUGUUGUUUUUUUAGACUAUUUUUUUAAAGUCACACAAAAGGGGGAGAAGUCCCAAUUGGUGUAUUGGGUUACUAGUUUUGUUGUAGAACUUCUAUUGGUUUAUUGUUGAUACGCUCUGCCUUCCCUUUAUGAAUUCGAUGUUGUUUC